CCAAACUCUAGACUCCAGAACGCGCUCUCUGCCUCUCGCACUCAGUCCAGAGCUCCUCCCAUCGAGCUCCUGUUCCUCCCUCGCUUCGUUGCAGCCACCGCCUGCUACCGCCGCCGUCGGAACUUCCAACUUCGAACAGCCACUGCCUGCUUCCUCACUUACCCUCCAUCGCGCAGCAGCCAUCGCAACCUUCCUUCCCCUCCAUCGUGCAGCCACCGUGCGAACGUGGAAGCCUCCGUCGCGCAGCCACGGUCCCGCCGGCGCCAGCUCUGUUCCACCGUAGCCACUGUCCCGUUGGAAAGCCCGUUCGAAGGUACUCCUUGUCUCGGUGUUUCCCUCUUGCGUGCUCUGUUCAAGGCUUCUAGCUUCUAGAUUUCGGUAAUUCAAUAGGAAGCAGAUAUAAAAAGCAGAGCUUCAAGUCUGUGCGAGUUGCUGUCCAUGUCCUGGAUGAGCUUAAGGAGAAGCUUGCUAGAAUCUAUGAUGUUAAGGACGCCGACAUUGCGUUCGUGUUCAAGUUACACACCCAUUUUGGAGGGGGCAAAUCCACUUGUUUUGGUUUUGAUUUAUGGCACUGUUGAGAAUGCUAAGAAGUAUUAGCCUAAGUACUGACUUAUUAGGCUGAUUUUAGAGGGAUGUAAUUCAAAAUCCCAGCAAUCAACAAUGUUGUUUAGGUGUCAUCAUGAGCGGUGAGGCCCAGUGCAAAAAGACGAUACCACAGUCGCAUGGCGCAUAUUCCAUCUUCGAUUCCUCUCUCUAUUUCAUCCAAAGCUUCCAUUAAUUGUGAAUCGC